rnacentral:rRNA from 1 species
GAUGAACGCUGGCGGCGUGCCUAAUACAUGCAAGUCGAGCGAACAGACGAGGAGCUUGCUCCUUUGACGUUAGCGGCGGACGGGUGAGUAACACGUAGGUAACCUACCUAUAAGACUGGGAUAACUUCGGGAAACCGGAGCUAAUACCGGAUAAUAUUUCGAACCGCAUGGUUCGAUAGUGAAAGAUGGCUUUGCUAUCACUGAUAGAUGGACCUGCGCCGUAUUAGCUAGUUGGUAAGGUAACGGCUUACCAAGGCAACGAUACGUAGCCGACCUGAGAGGGUGAUCGGCCACACUGGAACUGAGGCACGGUCCAGACUCCUACGGGAGGCAGCAGUAGGGAAUCUUCCGCAAUGGGCGAAAGCCUGACGGAGCAACGCCGCGUGAGUGAUGAAGGUCUUCGGAUCGUAAAACUCUGUUAUUAGGGAAGAACAAACGUGUAAGUAACUGUGCACGUCUUGACGGUACCUAAUCAGAAAGCCACGGCUAACUACGUG